rnacentral:rRNA from 1 species
UACGAAGGGGGCUAGCGUUGCUCGGAAUUACUGGGCGUAAAGCGCGCGUAGGCGGAUUGUUAAGUCGGGGGUGAAAUCCUGGAGCUCAACUCCAGAACUGCCUUCGAAACUGGCGAUCUUGAGUCCGGGAGAGGUGAGUGGAACUGCGAGUGUAGAGGUGAAAUUCGUAGAUAUUCGCAAGAACACCAGUGGCGAAGGCGGCUCACUGGCCCGGUACUGACGCUGAGGCACGAAAGCGUGGGGAGCAAACAGG